UGAUAAAUAUGAAUUUGAUUCGAAUAUUGUGGAAUCGAUUCGUUUUUCAUUUGAAAACGAAAAUUCGCACACAUUAAAAAAAAUAACAACAACCGCACAGCAGAUGGCGAGUACUAGAGCGAGGCACGGUCGCGUAUACUCGCUGUCUUGAAUAAUCUUGAACGACGCCGACGCUCAUCGAUGCCGAUAGAUAGCGUUUUUUGACGACGGGGUAUUGACGGCCGUCGAGCGCGAAACGUCAGCGGAAGUUCGGGAACUUCAUUCGCAGCCAUCCCUCUUACACCCUCCACCGGAACUACUUUAGACUUCAUACCGAUCCGCCCGAGUCACCGGCCACUAUCUGUCGGCCUGUUACGGCCGUAAACGUGGACACGACCAAAGCGCAAGACUGAUAUGAGCCCAAGUCAUAUUGUUGCAUAAAUAUCCUGGCGACAUGUAGUACAUUUGCAUCAGUAGUGGUUACAACUUAACCAUUACAUUUCAUAUGAUGAAGUAACUAUAUGAUCUUUAAUGAUUAAUCAUGUUACGCCAAUGAGAACUUCUCCAGAGGAUCUCAUUGGAAUUCUGAUGCCACAACUACUGAUGCCUGUCGCUUUUUAAUUAAGCGACAAUUUAUAUUAAACUAUUUUAUAUCCAAUCGUCACUCACAGAUUAUUGAUUUUAGUUAUCUAUGGACUAUAAUUACUUCAGGAAUGUUCGAUGUGAUAACAUUUUCAUAUUUCUACACGUAAUGGCCAAACGAUUACUGACGUUCUGCUUGUUAUUAAAUUCUUAACUCGGCAUUAUUUAGCUUGAAUUAUACUAAAACAUUUUUCAGUUCUCGAAUGUUUGUUACAUACAAAUAUAUAAUAACAACAAUAUCAAGUACAUAAACUAUUGGGAAUUUUUUUAAUCUAAUAAUUAUGAAUAUUAUAAUUCCCUCUUUUGUCAGAUAAUUUAAGGCAUGAUAGUACCUAUUUGGUGUCUGAGAUUGUACGUUAACUGCUGCAGUCGUUGAACAACAACAACAAGUUAUUUUACACAAUUAAUUAUUUAUAAUAUUAUGUCAUAUUGUUUUUUCCAUUAUGAUAAAAUAGGUUCAAUAUAUUUUAAACAGUUUAAACAAUUUUUAUACGUAAUAAUACAGGCCAUAGAUGUAUGGCCGUUUAUUUAUUAUAAGGCAAGUAGGACGUACUUUGUUCAUCAUGUCACUCAUGACGUAUACGGAUACUGUUUAAUGUUUAUUAUAUUAUCUGUUCUUAUCUAUAUAGACGACUACCUAUCUACACGGCUACGCAAUAAAUUUCAAACGACAAGUCUAUCAAACGGAAUUUGAAGAUUUGGAGUCAACAUUUGGACGAAAUAACAUAUUUACACAAAUUGUCUCAGUAAAAAUUGUUCAUCUAAUGAUUUUUAGUUAAUUUGUGGUAAUUAAAAAUAUUAAUCGUAA